UACGGAGGGGGCUAGCGUUGUUCGGAAUUACUGGGCGUAAAGCGCACGUAGGCGGCUUUGUAAGUUAGAGGUGAAAGCCCAGAGCUCAACUCUGGAAUUGCCUUUAAGACUGCAUCGCUAGAAUUGUGGAGAGGUGAGUGGAAUUCCGAGUGUAGAGGUGAAAUUCGUAGAUAUUCGGAAGAACACCAGUGGCGAAGGCGGCUCACUGGACACAUAUUGACGCUGAGGUGCGAAAGCGUGGGGAGCAAACAGG
rnacentral:rRNA from 1 species